rnacentral:rRNA from 1 species
UUUAUGGAGAGUUUGAUCCUGGCUCAGGAUGAACGCUGGCGGCGUGCCUAAUACAUGCAAGUCGAGCGAACGGACGAGAAGCUUGCUUCUCUGAUGUUAGCGGCGGACGGGUGAGUAACACGUGGAUAACCUACCUAUAAGACUGGGAUAACUUCGGGAAACCGGAGCUAAUACCGGAUAAUAUUUUGAACCGCAUGGUUCAAAAGUGAAAGACGGUCUUGCUGUCACUUAUAGAUGGAUCCGCGCUGCAUUAGCUAGUUGGUAAGGUAACGGCUUACCAAGGCAACGAUGCAUAGCCGACCUGAGAGGGUGAUCGGCCACACUGGAACUGAGACACGGUCCAGACUCCUACGGGAGGCAGCAGUAGGGAAUCUUCCGCAAUGGGCGAAAGCCUGACGGAGCAACGCCGCGUGAGUGAUGAAGGUCUUCGGAUCGUAAAACUCUGUUAUUAGGGAAGAACAUAUGUGUAAGUAACUGUGCACAUCUUGACGGUACCUAAUCAGAAAGCCACGGCUAACUACGUGCCAGCAGCCGCGGUAAUACGUAGGUGGCAAGCGUUAUCCGGAAUUAUUGGGCGUAAAGCGCGCGUAGGCGGUUUUUUAAGUCUGAUGUGAAAGCCCACGGCUCAACCGUGGAGGGUCAUUGGAAACUGGAAAACUUGAGUGCAGAAGAGGAAAGUGGAAUUCCAUGUGUAGCGGUGAAAUGCGCAGAGAUAUGGAGGAACACCAGUGGCGAAGGCGACUUUCUGGUCUGUAACUGACGCUGAUGUGCGAAAGCGUGGGGAUCAAACAGGAUUAGAUACCCUGGUAGUCCACGCCGUAAACGAUGAGUGCUAAGUGUUAGGGGGUUUCCGCCCCUUAGUGCUGCAGCUAACGCAUUAAGCA